GUCCCUAUGGCCUAAUGGAUAAGGCGUCGGUCUCCUAAACCGACGAUCCCAGUUCGAGUCUGGGUAGGGACU